CAUGUACACAAAGCCCGUUUUGGAUGCAGGCAAGUGCAGGGCGCACGCGGAGGCUCAGGCAGGGCAAAAAACAGGCCUCCUGGAAGUCCGGGAAGGGUGGAAAUGGGCCCGUUUCUGGCUUCCAGAGAGCCUCCGGAGCCCAGGGAGGCCGCUUCUCGACUAGGCCACGCCCACCAUGGCCACGCCCAACCAGGCAGAGA